ACUAAUGAAUUUUUGUUAGAAGGUACAAAGACAAAGACUCAUACAGACUUCGACUACACUACCAAAGGUUUAAGAAGCAAGAAGAAGCUUGGUUAGUGUUUUGGAUUUGAAUAUGACUUGAUGUCAUGUGUAUGACUCAGUAUAAAAACAAGAACCGCAACAGAUCUUAAAAGCAUAAGUAUUGUAUCCUUGUUAGAAGAUACAAAGACAAACACUCAUACGGACUUUGGCUACACCAUCAAAGCUUUGAGAAGCAAGAAAAA
rnacentral:sRNA from 1 species